rnacentral:rRNA from 1 species
ACUUUGAAAAGAGAGUGCAAGAGAACGUGAAACCGUUAUAGUGGAAGCGGAUGGAGCCGACGUAUCCAGUACGUAUUCAGUUGUCGCCCAGUGCAAAUGUUUUGUUGUUAGUUCUGUAAAGUCUACAAUGAGGUUAUUUGUGUUGGUUGGCAGUGCACUUGCGUACAGAGUGCGCCGAAUCGGUUGGUUGUGCUGUUUAAGAGGAACAUAGAGGACUAGCUUGCUAGAAACCUGUGUUACUGGAGGACAGAUGCGGCCGGCUGUAAAGAAGUUGGUGAAUUCGUGGUUGGUUGUUAGAGUUAGGUUGGCUCUUGUGUGACGCAUGCGUUGCGCAUAAGUUGAUUUGAUUACAAUGGUCAAUUGCUCAACUUCACAUUCGGUGUCUAGUCGGUCACCCAUUCGACCCGUCUUGAAACACGGACCAAGGAGUUUAAGGUGUGCGCAAGUCAUUGAGUGUUAAAACUCAUAGGCGUAAUGAAAGUGGGACACUUGGUGUCUGUGAUGCGACCUGUUGGAGUCUCGAUUCUUGCGGGGCAGCAUCGACCCAUGACUAGGACUUGUUCUGUUGUGGAGUCUGAGCGUACGCUUUGAGACCCGAAAGAUGGUGAACUAUGCCUGAACAGGACGAAGUCAGAGGAAACUCUGAUGGAAGUCCGAAGCGGUUCUGACGUGCAAAUCGAUCGUCUGAUUUGGGUAUAGGGGCGCAAGACUAAUCGAACCAUCUAGUAGCU